CCUUUCAUUUAGGCUUAAUCCAAUCAAAUCCAAUCCAAGUCAAACUGAAUCCAAUUCAAUUAGACUUGAUCCGAACCUUAUUGUUCAAUCAAAUUGAGCCAAUUAGCAAUUCAAUUACUAAUUAAUCCUCUUAUAAUUCACUAACAUUGAGUGAAUUACAUAAUUACAAAUUUUGCAUAAGGUUAAUCAUCAAUUACAUUGAUGAUUUUAUCCUUUAACGAUUCAUAAUUAUUGAUCAACCAU
rnacentral:lncRNA from 1 species